CGAAAUGCGAUAAGUAAUGUGAAUUGCAGAAUUCAGUGAAUCAUCGAAUCUUUGAACGCACCUUGCGCUCCUUGGUAUUCCUUGGAGCAUGCCUGUUUGAGUAUCAUGAAAUCUUCAAAGUAAAUCUUUUGUUAACUCAAUUGGUUUCUACUUUGGUAUUGGAGGUCUUUGCAGCUUCACACCUGCUCCUCUUUGUUCAUUAGCUGGAUCUCAGUGUUAUGCUUGGUUCCACUCGACGUGAUAAGUUAUCUAUCGCUGAGGACACUGUAAAAGGUGGCCAAGGUAAAUGCAGAUGAACCGCUUCUAAUAGUCCAUUGACUUGGACAAUACUUUUAUGAUCUGAUCUCAAAUCAGGUAGGACUACCCGCUGAACUUAAGC
rnacentral:misc_RNA from 1 species